GAUGAAGAACGCAGUGAAAUGCGAUAAGUAAUGUGAAUUGCAGAAUUCAGUGAAUCAUCGAAUAUUUGAACGCACAUUGCGCCCGCCAGUAUUCUGGCGGGCAUGCCUGUUCGAGCGUCAUUACAACCCUCAGGCCCCCGGGCCUGGCGUUGGGGAUCGGCGGGGCCCCCCGUGGGCACACGCCGUCCCCCAAAUACAGUGGCGGUCCCGCCGCAGCUUCCAUCGCGUAGUAGCUAACACCUCGCGACUGGAGAGCGGCGCGGCCACGCCGUAAAACACCCAACUCUUCUGAAGUUGACCUCGAAUCAGGUAGGAAUACCCGCUGAACUUAAGCAUAUCAAUAAGCGGAGGA
rnacentral:misc_RNA from 1 species